ACGUUCCGGGUUUAAAGACCUGGAAACCAAAGCCGGGGACCGCAAGGCCUGGCGCUUGAAGAGGAGCCCGCGUCCGAUUAGCUAGUUGGCGGGGUAAUGGCCCACCAAGGCGACGAUCGGUAGCCGGCCUGAGAGGGCGGACGGCCACACUGGAACUGAGACACGGUCCAGACUCCUACGGGAGGCAGCAGUGGGGAAUUGUUCACAAUGGGCGCAAGCCUGAUGACGCAACGCCGCGUGGGGGAUGAAGGUCUUCGGAUUGUAAACCCCUGUCGAACGGGACGAACGGCCCCUGGGCUAAUCACCAGGGGAAUGACGGUACCGUUAAAGGAAGCCACGGCUAACUCUGUGCCAGCAGCCGCGGUAAUACAGAGGUGGCAAGCGUUGUUCGGAAUUACUGGGCGUAAAGGGCGCGUAGGCGGCCAUCUAAGUCAGACGUGAAAUCCCCCGGCUUAACCUGGGAACUGCGUCUGAUACUGGACGGCUCGAGUUUGGGAGAGGGAUGUGGAAUUCCAGGUGUAGCGGUGAAAUGCGUAGAUAUCUGGAGGAACACCGGUGGCGAAGGCGGCAUCCUGGACCAACACUGACGCUGAGGCGCG
rnacentral:rRNA from 1 species